rnacentral:sRNA from 1 species
AGCAGCCGCGGUAAUUCCAGCUCCAAUAGCGUAUAUUAAAGUUGUUGCAGUUAAAAAGCUCGUAGUUGAAUUUCGGGAUCAAAGGAUCGGUCAUGCCUUGGUAUGUACUGGUUUUAUUGGUUCUCACCUUCUAAAGAACCAUAAUGUCAUUCAUUUGAUGUUAUGGGGAAUUAGGACUGUUACCUUGAAAAAAUUAGAGUGUUUAAAGCAGGCUUACGCUUGAAUACAUUAGCAUGGAAUAAUGAAAUAGGACAUCAGAUUCUAUUUUGUUGGUUUCUAGGAUCGAUGUAAUGAUUAAUAGGGAUAGUUGGGGGCAUUAGUAUUCAAUUGUCAGAGGUGAAAUUCUUGGAUUUAUUGAAGACUAACUACUGCGAAAGCAUUUGCCAAGGAUGUUUUCAUUAAUCAAGAACGAAAGUUAGGGGAUCGAAGACGAUCAGAUACCGUCGUAGUCUUAACCAUAAACUAUGCCGACUAGGGAUCGGAUGAUGUUAAUUUUAUAAUGACUCAUUC